CCUAGUAAGCGCGAGUCAUCAGCUCGCGU
rnacentral:rRNA from 3 species